UUUUCUCAAGACAGUUUCGUAGAAACUGGGUGAGUCGGCGCCUCGGCCGAUCUCGGAGGGGAUGACGUUGGGAAUGGUGGCGAAGACUACGUUGUCGGGUUUCGGAUCCGACCCUAUGAAUCCAAGCCACUCCUCGGUGACUAUUAAGGUUACAAGGAGGUUGAUGUUGCCAUCGGCGGCGUUGAGGGAAGCGAUGGAGUUGCAGAGGCACAUCAUUGGGUUGAUGUGGCCGCGGCUGGGUAUCGGCAGCGCGACCACAUGGUGUGUAAUGGUUUGAGAGGAAUUUAGGAAGUCCAUCGGAUGGGAAGGUGGAGACUGGAGAGUCCGAAGCUGCGAAGCAGAAGAUAAAAAGAGGAGCGCAGGAAGAAGACUACUAACACAAAGCAUUGUUUUCUAACCUGACAUAUAUUUUAAUGCAAAUCUUUCUCAGCACAAUCACAAAGCAUCAAACUGUUUCGAACUUUUUAUUUUAUUCCAACAAAAAAAUAACCUUUUUUUUUAUCAAAUUAUUAUUAUGGAAAAGAUAUUGAGGUAGAAUAUAUCAAACAUUACAAGCUUUAAAACAUCUUCAAGAAAAGUUUUAAAUUUAUGUUAAACUAAUAAGAGAACAUUGUAGUCACUCGGUACUACGGUCUGGUGGUAUUUCUCUUCACUUGGAAGUGAGAGGUCUUAGGUUUGAAUCUCGUGGAUGACGACUUCAAUAUCAAAUUAGAUUACCCAUUAUGUGGCUCAGCCGAACUCAUCUUCCUCUUAGUAUAAAAAUAUCAAUGUACUCAAACAAAAAAUAAGGGAACAUUGUAAAAAACUAUUUUAACUACUAAAUUUAACUUUUUAUGUCCAACAACACUCUUUAUUCUAACAAAUUUCAAAUAUUUUAUUAUUAAUAAUUCAAACUCAACCGCUCAUACGAACACUGACGGAGCCAAGUUAAGGGUUGCCCUGGGUUGUAGCCUAGGUAGCUUUCGGUGAGAAAUAAAAUUUUACAUUUAAUUUUAAUUGAUUUUCGAAUGUAGCCCACUAAAUAUUUAGUCACUAAUCCGAAUUCUCUAGGUUUAACUAUAUAAAAUUAUAUAAUACAGUUUACAAAUCAUCUUUUUUUCUUACAUCAUUUUUCUCAUCGUUUCUUAUACAUGUACAAGUUUGGAUUUGUUUAAUUACAAAUUUUUUUGGCUCACCUUGUGAUUUUUUUUAAGCUAGUUGAUACUAGGAAAAAUACAGUAUCAAGUUUCUUUAUUUAUAUACAUGUACAAGUUUGGAUUUGUUUAAUUACAAAAUUUUUGGCUCACCUUGUGAUUUUUUUUAAGCUAGCUGAUACUCUGAAAAAUACAGUAUCAAGUUUCUUUAUUUAUAAAGAUUUAAAUUUUUAAGCUAGCCCAUCCGGUAAAAAAUUCCUAGCUCCGCCAUUGCAUACGAAGAUAAAAAGGUGGGGUACAACUUAAGGAAAUUAGCCACGCUUUGGUUAAUGUCAAUCCUCCAUGGGAUAAAGAGGAAAUAAGAAUGAAAAAGCGUAGGAUAAUGGUUCAGAGGUAGAAUCGCAAUUGAAUUGCAAUUCGCUUUAUGGUUGCAUGGAUGCAUCUGGACAACAAGGUUGGAAAAUGGAGUCUUUUGAUUAGAAAGCAUCACUUUGGCAUCAUCGCGUGGUCUCUCAUUUGGGAUUAUUUGAUGUGGAAAUAUAUGGCUUUGUCAGGAGUCUCAGGACCCACCCCUAUAAUAUAAGAGGGUUUACAAUGUAGAAAGCCCCAUUCCACUCAAUAAAGAAUUUAGAUGUUCUACGUGAAAUCAUUCUCAUAACUCUGAGAAAAAUACUAAUAUCCUAAUCCCUCCUUGAGCACUUCAGUUUGGUUGAACAUCACUAGGUUGACAACUAACACCGUACCUUUGAACUAAUCAUGGGAGUACCUUCAACUCGGUUGAACAACACUAUUUUUGGUUUAGUUGGUUAUCUAUGUCUUAGCAGGUGAAGGGUCCUUGAUUCUUUUGCCGAAAGACGUCACUUCAUUAGCUUUCCUAGAGAAGUGAGGUGUUCUAGCUAUGAUCGGUUACUCGCAAAUACAUUUCAGAGUUCGGCAUUCAGAUAACUGAACAACUUUCACAAUAAAGAUACUAAUUUCAUUUGAGUAUCUUUGCUCCUACAACCUAAUACUGAUUUGGCGCACUUUGCAGUGAAUGAAGUAACAUUGUCUUCAGGUUCUAUAACCCUAGGCCAAGAGUAUUCCUUUCUCAAACAAAGUCCUUAAAUGCAAAAGUCAGCAGCGCGUUCAACACCACCACCAUAUCCACUCACUAGCCCGAUCAACCUCGGCCACGAGUUGGCACGCCGACAUUCACAAGAAAGAUGUAGUUAGCUUAAUAGUUGCUCGCCAUGCACACCGCAUAGGUUGUAAUUUUUAGGGUCAACCAUUUGGCACGCCUGGUUAGAUUUACUGCUAAAACUACGAAGUUCAUAUGAUAUAUCGAGAUUUCCAUUCAGCUCAAUUAAACCGAUUGGAUGAGAUCCAAGAUCAACUUGAGAAAUGCAUUCAAAAGUGUGAGGAGAAUAAAAAAAGCAUAGUAAAUGCAAAAAAUUCUUGAUGCCCAUGAAGAAAUGUGAAAAUCCUUCACUCAUACGUUGAAAAUGAAAGCUCCAAUUAUCCGAAGAAUAAUGGGUAAAAGAGGACAGAGCCUACUUAGGGCUGGUUUGGUAUUGCUGUGCUUUGAAAAAAAGCUGCUGUGAGAAUAAGCGGCUGUGCUGUGAGAAUAAGCGGCUGUGAAAUAAAUCAGCAGAGUGUUUGGUAAACUUUUUUGUAAAAGUGCUUUUGGAAAAAAAAAACAGUCUGAUAGUGGAUCUUUUCAUUAAAGGAGCACUGUAGUUCUAUGUGCUUUGAAAAAAAACCAGUUUUCCAAAGCUACAAAUUGCAGCUUCAGCUUUUUCCUUUGAUUUCAGCUUAUUCUCACAGCAGCUUCCAAAAUAAGCCAUUUUUUUUAAGUUUACCAAACACCAAAAACACUCCCAGCUUUUUUUCAUAGGAGCUUUUUUUAAAAUCACCUCAACCCCAAACUGGGGCUUAGUAUGUGGCUAAAUGACAAAGAUUUUCCUUGCUUUCCUGUAUACAAAUAAAUUCCAUAUGAAGUGUGGUUGGGAUCAAAAGACUGAGAGGGGGAAUUUUUCCUUCGACCCCCCAUUCAAGCCUCUGCCAGAGAGGAUUAUCAAUAAAGUUGGGCCACUUGUUCCUUCAUCUGAAGAGGAAAAUAUGGUUGGCCUGGAAGAAAAUAUUCAAGUUUCUAAACUAAAUAAAAAAAUUAAGUAAGAAGAUGAUUUGUCAGGAGAGUACUGCAAUGACGAUUUAGGCCAAAACACAGCCUUAGACGCAAAACCCAUGUAAAUCGAAAUGGUUAUUGGAGAUAAAGUUGAUAUGGAGCAACCCCUUUUGGAUGAAUUGUUCGAAUUAAACGCCAAAACUGGCAGCAAAAACCGCUCCAAGAGGAGUAAAUUGCUGAGUAGGAAUGAACGAGCCCGUUGUCAAAAUUUACAACACCAAUGGUUAACGCCAAAUUCUUAUUAGAUUGAUCUUGUUAAAAAAAAAAAAAAACUUAUUAGAUUGAUUUAUGUUAGCCGGUUGGCCCAUUUCCCUUUAUUAAAACACCUUGUUUUGUAGUUUUUGAUAAGUGUGAAUUUACCUCUUUCAAUAAAAAAAUAUAAGCAAAAAAAUUUAACAUAUCGGAUGGAGUGACAAAUCUCACGAUAUGUCAAAUUGACACAUAAACCAUUAAAUAUAAUUUGAUGUUAUUUGAUAUUUUUUUUGAAAAUGCUCUUAGGUGUAGGCAAAUGACUAGUCAAAUCCAUUUCGAUGAGCUACAUAAGCAAAAACUUUUUUCAAGAAAAAAACUGAGUGGGAAAAAAUCUUAGUGGUAGGUAAAUGACUAGUCAAAUCCAUUUUGAUGAACUACGAGGCAAAAACUUGCUUCAACAGUGUAGACAAAUUUUGCUUACUCCCUCAAAAUACGUAAUAUUGCCUUACAUUCUUUUUUACAAUAAUAUACUCUUUGUGGCCCUUAAGUUAGGUUGUGUCAUUAUGUCUGUAUUGAUUUUGGUGUAGGAUUGAAGAAUAAGGUUUGGUUUUUAUAAAAAUAUUUUUCUUAUUCUCUGUGUUUUUACUUUCUUGUUUUUUCGGAUUUUAAAACAUAAUUUUUUGACUUUUUUUUAACAGAUGCUUGCAUGAAGCUUUAAUUUUCCAAGUUUAACUAUGCAGCUGUUUGGCCAAGUUCAAUUUGAACUCUACUCCUUAUGGCUAAAGCUGAUAAAAAAAAAAAUGCAAUACUUGGAUAAGACUUGCCUUUGCACCACUUAUUACCUGGGAAGUUCAACUCCCAUUUUCUUGAGUUUCUUUAUUUUUCUUUUCUUCAUGUGUCUCUCAUUUGAAAUCUUCUCGUUGCAAUUGCUAUCUAAGUACUAAAUACCAAUAUUUUGGAUGUUAGAAAAAUUAGUUCUACAAAAUAAGGUGGGCAAAAACCCUAUAAGUAUAAUAGUGUUGUAGGCAUAAUUUAUUGAACAAUUAUGGAGGUCAUAGAAAGAGGGUGCGGCACAAAGAGAGAGAAGAGAGAGAUGUGUAAUUGUCAAGUGUGUGUAAUUCCACCCCCAUUGUGCCUUUAUUUAUAGUAGUAUGGAAGGUUAAAUCUUUACCCUAAUAUGAUUAUAACUUAAAUAGGAUAAUAUAUAAUCUAAGAGAUAUUCUAGAUAUGAUAGGAUUUACACAAUAAUAUUCCUAAUCUAAAAUGACUACAACACUCCCUUUUAAGUGUGUAAAUACUCAACUAAAAUGGCGCAUCAGGUCUUUAGUGAUGAAGUAAGUUCUAUUGAUGAAGUCGACGGCACCAUGAGCGAAUGCAAGUCUCGAAUGAACGGAAUAAUGCACAAAAAGUAAAACUCACAAAACCUCGCUAUGGUAAAACCCAAUAUGGGAUACAAACUCAUAGACUAAGGAGAAAAGUGAGAAGUUGCAUUAAGUUAAAACCAUACGUCUUCUAGACACAAGUAGAAGAGCUCACAAGGGUAUGACCAACCCAGGAUAAGUGUAUUGUCAAAACCUAGUUAGGGAGCAAAAAUCCAGUAGGAAAAAUGCUCAUAAUCGUAAGGAAAAAGAGUACAUUAAGAUCAAGUGAGUAUACUUAUGGAUACUCCCCCUGAGUUUGACAGAACUUCCAAAUAAGAACUAAAAUCAUUGCAUAUGAUUAGUUAGGCAUACAAAUUCCUCAGACAAACUUCUGAAAAGUUGACUUUGGCAUUGACAUUGUGUAGAGGUCAGCAAGGUUGUCUGGGAUAGGGGUGGGCACGGGUCGGGAACAACAUUUUCUAAUAUAGAAACCGAACCUAACCUAGCCUAGUUGAAACGGGCCGAUUUGGGCCGGGUCCACGGGUCCUUUUUUUAUGUUUAUUAUUAAAAUAAAAAAAUUAAAAAAACUAAAAUUUGCACAAAUUCACUACUAGUGCACAUUGCAGUGUGCAAAUUUUGCACAAAUUCACUCCCUAGUCCCUACAUAGAUUCACAUCCAAUACAAACAUUACAAAGUCCAACAUCCAAGUCCAUAGAUUAACAAUACAAUACAUUCAAAAUAACAACAUUAUAUCGUCCAACAUCGUUCGAUACAUUAGAUCCGAAACAUUCAAAAUAACAUUCAAGAGACAUCUAAAGAUCAAACUAACAUACAAAAUAUCCGAGAGUCCAAGACAUCCAAAUUUCAAAGUCCAAAAUCAAAUAAUCCAAAAUAACAUAAACAUGACAUCCGCAAUAAAUUCCAAAUUAACAUCCGAAACCACUUCCAACGUCCAAGUUCCAACAACAUUCCUCGUUGAAUGUAAGGAAAAAUAGAAUAUAAACAUGACAUUUUUAACAUCCAAUAUCAUAUUAUCCUCAUUGAAUCAUUGAAAUUUAAAGUUUAUUCAUUUGAGUUUAAAAUAUUACCGCAAUUUCUUUUCCUUUAUUUGUUCGAGUUGUUUAAGGAGCUUCAAUUUCAAGAACACUUGGUGAGAUGGUUGAACUUGUAAAUAUAGUAUUUGCUUUUCUUCUUUUAUAUUCUACAACAAAUAACAAAAGAAGCACGUUAAUUUUAAAUGAAUAGAAGAAGACAACAAUUAAUAUAAAGUUAUAAACCAAACUAUACAAAACAAAAUAAUUACAUUCUUCACACUCUUGAUAAAAUUCAAGCUCUGCCGAACUUACUUCAUACUCAAUAUUGCUAAUUUAUUCACUUCUUAACCAGUUUUGGAGACAUAUCAAUGACUCAACUGUUUGAGGAAGGAGAGAUGAUCUAAAUGGGUCAAUUACUCUUUUUCCUGCACUAAAUACACUCUCACUAGCAACUGUUGACACUUGAAUUGAUAACACAUCUUUCGCUAUUAAAGAAAGUGUGGGAUAUGUGCUCCUCCCUUUCAACUUCCAUCAUUUCAAAACGUCAAAUGGUGGACCAUGUGGUACUUUCUCUAGAGUGUCAAGGAGAUACCUAUACACCUCAUGUGCAAGUGCAACAUCAUUGGUGGCUUCUAGUUCCUUCUCAUAAUCAUCCAUCAUUUGACUAAAUAUCAUUGGAUUUUCUGUUGGUACACUAAAAGAUUAUUGUUUUACCCUUGAACAACUAAAUCUUCUUUACCCUUUUGUUGUGUUUGUGAACCGAAAGCUUAUUGAGCAUAUUCAUCACACAUCGCCUUCAACAAUGUAUUCACUUCAUUACUUUUCUGUUGAAUCUCUUCUUCAGGAAGUUGUAAUGGCUUUCUACACAAGUGCAUGUAGUGCCUCAAUUUGAACCUUGGGUUUAAGACAAGGACAACUACAAAUAUUUGAUUAAGGGACUUAAUUGAACCAAAAUACUUUCGGUAUUUGGCUCUCAUGCUCAUUGUCAUAUCACGUAGCACCAACUCCACAGUUCCUCCAAUUUGCAUAUAUUAAAGCAAAAAAAGCUUUUCAAUCUCGUUCUCCACAACAAUAAAAUCAUGACCAGUUGUAUUAGAUGUGGGAUACUUACUUGCACUAACUUUCAAAGUUACAAGAUAGAAGACUUUCAAAAAUUCCACAAACACUUUUGCACCAUCCCAUCUUCCUUCUUAGGUGGUCCAACCUUCUCUUUACUCGCCACUUUUUCUCUUUCAUCAUUAAGCACAUUUUCCCUGAAAUAGGUCGAGUAUAUAUUGGCUUCAUCAUCUUCGGACAUCCUUUCAAAUGCCUUUUUAAACUUCAAGCAAGAUUCUAGUAUCAUGUAUGUGUUAUUCCACCUAGUAGGCACAUCCAUAACAACUAGACCCCUACUAUCCAACUUCUCAUUCUCCACACAUUUCUUGAAAUAACUAAACCUUCGGGGACUUGAUUUCACAAACCACACGACAUUUCUAAAAGCAUCCACAUUUGUAUCUAAUCUUUUCAACCCAUCUUUCACUACCAAGUUGAUAAUAUGAGCUAAGCACCUCAUAUGCAUAAACUUGCCAUUCAUAAUGAUUUUACUAUUAGGCCAUUUCUGCAGUUUUCGAACAACAUAAAUUGCCACCUUAUUAGCUGAUGCAUUGUCAACUGAGACAUUGUUCAAUCAACUUCCCUAUUUCUUGCCAUCAUGAUCAAACAAAAGUUUAGAAUCCUUUUGUGCAUAUUUCAUUCAUUAUCCACAAAAUGAGCGGUUAGCACCAUGUAGUUCAAAUUUUGCACACUUGUCUAUGUAUCAGUAGGUGCAACGGGAAGGUAAUUCUGCAACUCAUCGCCUUGCUCGUAUGGGUAUUGGGAGUUCUCAAGAGUUUAUGUGGUUUGAGGAGCCUCCGGAUUUACUCCAAGAUGUUUUAGUUGAGAAAGGAAUGUAAUUUCUUUAUUGUUCAGCUGAGGAUAAGUUACAUUGUUGUAUGGGACACUCUUUUUCCCUUCGAUUAGGUUGAAAUUCCUGGCACGAUUUUUAUCGAGGCUCAGUGUGCACACUAUCUUUAGGUUGUACGUAUUCUUUGCCGUUUAAUGAAUAUUGUACCGUUUCUCAAAAAAAAAAAAAAAAAAAAAAAAAACCCCUAUUGUAACUUAUAAUUGUAAUAUUAUCUACACAUCAAUACAAAAAGUCAUAAUUCACGUUUUGAGACAGCACCCAAGUGAGUACUGAGUACAUCUCCUGGAUUCUUCUAUUUGUCUCAUACAUAUAUAUUUGUUGUGGGCAAUGAAACCAAUUUAAUAUACAACAACAAUUUCCUUAAUGCGUCCUCCUUUAUUCUUUUUAAUUCAAGAUGCAAACUUAUUAUCUCUAACAAUAAAGUAGCAAGUAAAUGUCACUAGACUAUAUUUUCAUCAACAAUGCUUCUCACAUCUUGAUAGGUCAUUUAUAAACGCUUCAAUGUUGAAAUAAGAUGAGCCACCCUUUUGAAUUGCUUGCUGACAAAUGUCCUGAAUCUCUCUUGCUUGCCUCCUAAGGUCUUUCCCUUCCUCACUUUCCAAAUCCAUAAACCUUUUAACAAUCCCUUUAAUUUCCUCUCUAGUCACCAAAAUUUCUUCUUCUCCCAUACCCUUCUUCACCUUCCACCCUAUCUUCCAAUCCUCCACAAUCAUCUUACUAUUGGGCACUUGGUCCCAAUAUAUAGGAAAAGUCAACAUUGGAAGGCCGGCAAAAACAGCUUCCGAGGUCGAAUUCCAACCACAAUGAGACCAAAACCCACCAAUACAAGAGUGACACAAUACUCUCAAUUGGUCACACCAAGGCACCACAAUCCCCAUCUCACCACACUUCUCUUGCAACUCCAAAGCUUCCUCACGUGCCACCCAAAAGAACCGGGCCCCACUCUCUCUCAAGCCACAUGCGAUUUCCUCCAUUUGGGCUUUGGAAGCUGAAUGCAAACUCCCUUGUGACACAUACAAAACCGACCCUUUUGGUUGCUUGUCUAGCCAAUCAAAAUAUUGGGACUCAUUGGGCUUAAGUUGAGCCUCUAUGGGCCUUGAAUGGGCCUCCACCUUGAAAUGAGGUAUUGUGGGCCCAAUAGUGUAAACAGGAAUCGGAAGUUUAUCCCUCAACGCGUCAAUAACUCGGGCUUCAAGAUCGUACACCGAAGGCAGCAGAAGCCAUCGUGCUUUGGACAGGCUUGAAAUUGCUUCUAGUGCUCGAUCCAAGACGUUCAGCCCUUUGGCAUAAAAACACGUGGGAAGGUCUGCCACACGUGUCGAAGGAAGUCCCGGGAUGUAGUCAACGUGCUCUUCUCCUUUUUCUACAACCAAAAAAAAAAAAAAAAAAGACAAAAUGUUGUAUGGAAGUGUUAUCUACCCAUUCAUUUUUAUUUUUCAUACACUACUCUCAAUUUUGGACUAUCAGAUCGAAUGAAUUGAAAACGAUUAAUGACAAAAAGUUAACAAAGAUGUAUGGAAGAUUCAAUGGUGGAGCUAGAAAUUUUUCACAGGGUGGACUAGCUUAAAGAUUUAAAUCAUCAUAAACAAAAAAACUUGAUACUGUAUUUUUUACAAUAUCAGCUAGCUUAAGAAAAUUUUCACAAGGUAAGCCAAGAAUUUUCGUUAUUCAAACAAAUUCAAAUGUGUACAUCUACAAAAAGCGAUGAGAAAAAAAUGUGAGAAAAAGAGAUGGUUUGCAAACUUUAUUAUAUAAUUAAAUCAGUGACUAAAUAUAUGAUGAACUACAUUUAGUAAAAAAUUUAUUUAAAAUUUUAUUUUCUACCGAAAGUUACCUGGGCUACAGCCAGGUAGCCCUUAAUGUGGCUCUACCAAUGAAGAGAUUAAAAUAAGUGUGUGAAUAACAUUAUCCAUAUUAAAUAAUACAUAGAGUUUGCAACAAACGUCAAAUUCAGUCGUGCUUUCAACCCGAUUCGAUUUGAUUUUUUCAAUAGAUUAUCUGAAUUAUUAAGAAAAAAACCAGACCAAACGAUUUGUUUUAGUCGAUUUGUUUUUCACUCCUCUGUCUCCUCUCUUCUUUAUCCCUCAUUUUCCUCAUAUAUGUCAAGCACGCGCGGAUCGUGAAAAUUAAAACCUCAAAACUAAAUAGUUAUGAAACAAACCUAAAAAAAGCAGAUUUAGUUCAGCCACAAUGAUCAAAUUCAGUCAACAAACAAAUGCAUAGGUGUUUGCUAUUAUUACUAAACCGUGGAGGUUAAAAUUGAAAAAACUAACUGAGUUUGUGCUGUUAUUUACGUACCUGCCAAAUUUACCGGGAAAUGUCGAUGUUGGACGAGGAGAUCGAAGAAAUGAAAGACGGAGUAGACUGAAGCGGACAUGGUCCAAAGAGAAGCCACCGGAAUAUUCCUCAGGUUCCCUAUCUCAACCGACCACACCAAGUACGUGUCCGCAAUCAAGGCGGUAACCGGCGGCUCGAGCCGGUCGAGGAGGUCUUCGACCGGGGCUCUAAUUUUUCUCAAGACGGUUUCGUAGAAACCGGGGGAGUCCGCGCCUCGACCGAUCUCGGAGGGGAUGACGUUGGGAAUGGUGGCGAAGACUACGUUGUCGGGUUUCGGAUCCGAUCCGAUGAAUCCCAGCCACUCCUCGGUGACUAUGAAGGUUACAAGGAAGUUGAUGUUGCUAUCGGCAGCGUUGAGGGAAGCGAGGGAGUUGCAGAGGCACAUCAUUGGGUUGAUGUGGCCGCGGC
rnacentral:lncRNA from 1 species